CGGUGUGGAUAAGUGGCGAACGGGUGAGUAACACGUGAGCAACCUGCCCUGGACUCUGGGAUAAGCGCUGGAAACGGCGUCUAAUACUGGAUAUGAGCUCUCAUCGCAUGGUGGGGGUUGGAAAGAUUUUUCGGUCUGGGAUGGGCUCGCGGCCUAUCAGCUUGUUGGUGAGGUAAUGGCUCACCAAGGCGUCGACGGGUAGCCGGCCUGAGAGGGUGACCGGCCACACUGGGACUGAGACACGGCCCAGACUCCUACGGGAGGCAGCAGUGGGGAAUAUUGCACAAUGGGCGGAAGCCUGAUGCAGCAACGCCGCGUGAGGGAUGACGGCCUUCGGGUUGUAAACCUCUUUUUAGCAAGGAAGAAGCUUUUUGUGGAGGUC
rnacentral:rRNA from 1 species